rnacentral:lncRNA from 1 species
GGGCGAGGCCCUCAGGGUGUGAGUGGCUCAGAUGAAGCCACAGACCAGACAGGGAGCAGCCUCCUUUCUCCCCGACCCCGUGGGUGCCAAGCACACACAGCACCUGCGCCCUGGAGGAUGCUGGUCAUGACACCCUCCUUGUGCAGGAUGCUAAGAGCACCCCAUAAGUGCCCUUGCUUCACAGUCUCGGCAGGCCCCAGGCAGCCUGUGGGAUGGGCUUGGUGGUGGUCAUCAUACCACUUUACAGCUGAGAAACUAAGACUCAGAGAGGCAUGUACUACCCAGCACACUGGGGACACACACCUAGGAAUUGGGCACACCCAGGAGUCCCAGACCUCAGGGUGACCCUGGGACCCUGGCGGCACGGGUCAAAGGGCACAGGCUCAGACGCUGCCAAUGCAUCAUGAUCAGAGAACUGUAGGAACCCAGAGUGGGAAAGGCUCAAGGGAGGCUGCCUGGAAGAAGUGGCAUUGGGCGCGAGGUUGCCAUCUCUCCCUGCCGUGAGUAGGGGACCAGGAGACACUGGACAGAGUCUCUGCCCUGGGAAACCCAGCACCCCACUGCUGACCGUUCUAAGGACAACAGAAGGUGGCAGGAAGUCUCGCCAGCUCCCAGCAUCGUCAGCAUCCUCAUCUCUAAAGGGAGGACGGUGGCAGCACCUGCUUCAUGACGUGGCCUUGAGGAUCUGCUCCCCCUGAGAAAUGACGAAGGGCGCUGCCUGUGGGGGUGAGCUCCCUCCACGGAAGGUGUGCAAGGCGAUGGAUGCGAAUUCCUGCCUGGAGUGCCGGAUCUUCACGGUUGGACUUGUCGCUGAAGUUGCUCUAGUCUCUCUCUGCUGUUGCGGGGUGGUUAUCGUUCGGGCUCCAGAUUGCAGGACCUUAAGAACACAUCCAACUCUGAAGGGAAAGAAUCCACGUCCCCCAGAGAUUCUAAACUCAGGUAAUCGUUCCUCCCACCAGCUCUCCUCCCUGCCCCCCACCCGCUGAGCUCCAGAGCUGGCUGCCAAACACAGGCCUGACCCAUCAGAGCACCACAUUCUCCUGACCACAGAGACUUGUUCAGGGGUGGACACGUGACAUCAGAA